CCUACGGGUGGCAGCAGUGAGGAAUAUUGGUCAAUGGGCGAGAGCCUGAACCAGCCAAGCCGCGUGAAGGAUGAAGGAUUUAUGGUUGGUAACCUCUUUUCACAUGGGAAUAAAGUGUGGCACGUGUUCCUUUUUGUACGUCCUAUAUGUAUAAGCCAGGGCCAACUCCGUUCCAGCAGUCGCGGUAAUACGGAGGAUGCGAGCGUUAUCCGGAUUUAUUGGGUUUAAAGGGUGCGUAGGUGGGUAAUUAAGUCAGCGGUGAAAGUUUGUGGCUCAACCAUUAGCUUGCCGUUGAAACUGGUUGACUUGAGUAUAUGUGAGGUAGGCGGAAUGCGUGGUGUAGCGGUGAAAUGCAUAGAUAUCACGCAGAACUCCGAUUGCGAAGGCAGCUUACUAAACUAUAACUGACACUGAAGCACGAAAGCGUGGGGAUCAAACAGGAUUAGAUACCCUUGUAGUC
rnacentral:rRNA from 1 species